GUCAGUACUAUACCAACAUUUUAUCCCACGUCAGGUUUUUUUAUCCCACAUGUGAAAUUGUUGUUUUUUUCACACUUCCAAACAUGUCUCUCACAAUGGUCAUUCUCUAAUCAAUAAUGUGGAACUGUAUGAAGUCUGUACUGUGAAUACCAACCAAAAGCAGUACAGUGUCUUGCAAAAGUAAUUGUAUAGAAUGGCCAAUACAGCUUACCUGAACGUGUUUCCUUCCUUGUUUUGGCCUACGGUAUAUCUUCCUUUCGGCCCAUAGUUAAAGGACUAUUGUUCUUCUGACGUUCAGCUUCUGCACUCCAAGAACUGGUUAUAUGAGGGGCAUGGUUGUUCAUGGUUGAGCAUAAAACCUGGUCUAUAUUUUAGAAGAACAAGGCUUGUUUUGAUUAUUUUGCAGUUACUAUUACUAUCAGAAACACUGACGACCUUUUACCAUUGAUACAUACUGUAUGUGCUAAGGGAACAAUAAUGGAAGCUGUUAAAAAUUGUUGAUAAUUGUAUGCGUUUCCUCUCAGGUUUUUGAACCACAAAACCAAAGUACUCCCAAACACAAACUUGAUGAUGAAAGGUAAGUACUAAUUUUUAUACAAGAAGUAAUUUAUCUUUAAAUUGUUGAUGUGGGGCAGCACAGUGGUGCAGUGGUUAGCACUGUCACCUCCCAGAAAGAAGGUUCUGGGUUCUAACCCAGUGGCUGAUGGGGGCCUUUUUGUGUGUAGUUUGCAUGUUCUCCCCGUGUCUGCAUGGGUUUCCUCUGGGUGCUCCGGUUUCCUCCACAGUCCAAAUACAUGCAGGUUAGGUUAAUUGGUGGCUCUAAAUUGACCGUAGGUGUGAAUGGUUGUUUGUCUCUGUGUGUCAGCCCAGCAAUGAUCUGGUGACUUGUCCAGGGUGUACCUUGCCCAUAGUCAGCUGGGAUAGGCUCCAACCUGUAUCAUGAAGGUAAUAAUUUUAUUAAUUUUAUCAUGUUUCAGAGAUGGACCAGGACAUUCAGCCACAAAUCAGCCUGGACAGGUAUUAAGGCAGAAUGUGGCAGCCUGAUGUUUCUUGCUUUCAGUGUUGUGUUGUUUCAGACAUUUUAAAUUGUUUUACAGAUAGUGAUACUGAGGAUCUGGAUCCACCUGAAACAAAUCCAGACAAGACAAGAAAAAAAAAUAUCGUGACUCACUUAAUUUUAAUUCAAUGAUUACAUGGGGAAGAAAUUUGUGUUUUGUAAGAUGUUUUGAAAUGUAAAUGGUAAUUUCCCAACAGUAAAUACACAGACCUGUAUGCACCAGAUGUUGAGGAAGAGGACGAGGAGCUGGUUGCAGUCAAUGUGAAAAAUUUGCAGCACACAGCAAUGGAGGAGAUGAACAUUACACUACCUGACAUUGUAGCAAACCUGUCGCAUCCUAUUGAGUCAGUAGGUUCAACAUCUCAAGGGUUAAUGUUUGGGAAGGAGCAGUCAGAGAUUUCAAGCGUACAACAUAUUCUGAAACCUCUGACAUGCUGGUCAAAUUUACUGAUGAUGCUGGUGUUUCAGAAGAAGGAAUUGACAUGGGCAGUCCAAGACAAUAGUUUUUAACUCUUUGAAAGAAACACCUGAAAGACCGGCCCAUUUUUGAUGGACCAGAAGGACAUCGAUUUUUGGUCUCCAGCACAAAUGCUGUUAGGGAGGAUGAAUACUACUUGGCAGAUAAGAUGCUUGCGGUGUCAGUUGGAGGUCCAGGACCCCAUUUCCUCUCAAAAGAUCUUGUACGUUAUCUUGCGGGCCAUCCUUCAUUCAAAGCAACAGUUAAUUUAAUAACUGAUGAAGAAAUAGGGAAAGCUUUGCAAGAGAUUGAAAAUGCUGCUUCAGUGGAUGCUCUGCAAGAACACAACAUGAGACACAGCACAAUCAUGUCAGACUACCUCUGAUGGUAUAUUAUUGACCACAACUCAUCUGUACCGUAAGUGAUGGGUCUCAAGGCAUUUAUAAAUGAAAGUGGGGCCAUGGUUCUGUGUAUAUGCUUUAAAGAAAGUCAAACUUUGCAGACUAUCUCCUUGAUUGUGAAGAAGGCCAGGCUGCUGUGUCUCUGGAGGAUGUUUUAAUGCUUGCAGCUGGGCUGACUUCACUUCCCCCAUCUGGCUUGGAACCAUUGCCACAAAUAGAGUUCCUGGAUGACUGUCCAUUCCCAAGGGCAAACACAUGUUCAGACACACUGAAAUUACCACUCCUAGAUUCAUACACUGUGUUUCAGUCACAAAUGGACUUUGGAAUUCAAAAUGCUCCAUGAUUUGGCUGAUUCUAAGCUAUGUGACUGGAUGACCCUCUGAGUUCAGAAUCUGAAAAAAAUUGUUUGUUCUUUGUUGUUGUUUAAGAUGUUUUUAUAAUGUAAAAGUAUACGAGCAUGUUUUUUUCUCACAGUUAACAUUUUAGACAAAAUAAACAAAACAAGUAUUUCAAGAAGUUUUGUUCUCUAUACUUACAAAACUGUAAUAAACACUCAUCACUUUGUUAUA